rnacentral:rRNA from 1 species
AUGCACUGUAGCCAUUGCAGAGACCCUAACCACAAGAGGCCAGGUUGCCCUAUCCUACAUCCAGAACUGAAACUUCAACCACAAAGAAGAAACAAUGAAGAAGAUAUUGAUGAUCCUUCUAUUUUAGAGCAUAUUGUUCCUGAAGAGGGCAUUCCUGAGUUAAUUCCAACACAAUGCAGUGAAACUCUAGUUGACGAACUGCUAGUAGAAGAAAUCACUGAGUUGGAGAAUUUUCACAGUCGAAGGAAAGGUCCACUGCCUAGCAAUGCUUUCGUUGAAGAGCACAUAAAUAAUAUUCCUGCUCCAAGGGCAACAACAGCAACAAGGGGAGGGAUGGCCAUAGCAAGGGGAAGAGGAAAGGGGAGAGGAAGGGGAAGAGGAAGAGCAACUAGCUCUGCUACAAGUACUUCUAUACUUGAUGAUGUUGUGCCAACUACCAGAGGGAGAGCAAGAGCGAGAGGCACUACAAGGAGAGCAAGUACAAGCAGGGUCACAGGAAGUAUUUCUGUAGUUAAUGAUGCUAUAGGAGCAAGUGGUGCUGCUUCAAACAUGGUAGAUGAUGUCCCAAGAGCAAGCACAAGAAGACCAAGAAGUGGAGGAAGAGGAGAUGGUGCAGCCAGAGAGAGAGAGAGAGAAGUAUCAAACACGGAAGAUUGUACCACUUGCUCUUUGGGUCUCAUUAGUUAA